rnacentral:rRNA from 1 species
CUCCCAACCCAAUGUGAACGUUACCAAACUGUUGCCUCGGCGGGAUCUCUGCCCCGGGUGCGUCGCAGCCCCGGACCAAGGCGCCCGCCGGAGGACCAACCAAAACUCUUAUUGUAUACCCCCUCGCGGGUUUUUUUAUAAUCUGAGCCUUCUCGGCGCCUCUCGUAGGCGUUUCGAAAAUGAAUCAAAACUUUCAACAACGGAUCUCUUGGUUCUGGCAUCGAUGAAGAACGCAGCGAAAUGCGAUAAGUAAUGUGAAUUGCAGAAUUCAGUGAAUCAUCGAAUCUUUGAACGCACAUUGCGCCCGCCAGUAUUCUGGCGGGCAUGCCUGUCCGAGCGUCAUUUCAACCCUCGAACCCCUCCGGGGGGUCGGCGUUGGGGAUCGGCCCUCCCUUAGCGGGUGGCCGUCUCCGAAAUACAGUGGCGGUCUCGCCGCAGCCUCUCCUGCGCAGUAGUUUGCACACUCGCAUCGGGAGCGCGGCGCGUCCACAGCCGUUAAACACCCAACUUCUGAAAUGUUGACCUCGGAUCAGGUAGGAAUACCCGCUGAACUUAAGCAUAUCAAUAAGCGGAGGAAAAGAAACCAACAGGGAUUGCCCCAGUAACGGCGAGUGAAGCGGCAACAGCUCAAAUUUGAAAUCUGGUCCCUAGGGCCCGAGUUGUAAUUUGUAGAGGAUGCUUUUGGUGAGGUGCCGCCCGAGUUCCCUGGAACGGGACGCCACAGAGGGUGAGAGCCCCGUCUGGCUGGCCGCCGAGCCUCUGUAAAGCUCCUUCGACGAGUCGAGUAGUUUGGGAAUGCUGCUCAAAAUGGGAGGUAUAUGUCUUCUAAAGCUAAAUAUUGGCCAGAGACCGAUAGCGCACAAGUAGAGUGAUCGAAAGAUGAAAAGCACCUUGAAAAGAGGGUUAAAUAGUACGUGAAAUUGUUGAAAGGGAAGCGCUUGUGACCAGACUUGGGCGCGGCGGAUCAUCCGGGGUUCUCUCCGGUGCACUUCGCCGCGUCUAGGCCAGCAUCAGUUCGUCGCGGGGGAAAAAGGCUUCGGGAACGUGGCUCCUCCGGGAGUGUUAUAGCCCGUUGCAUAAUACCCUGCGG